GCUUGGCCGACCCUGUGGCGAGCUCGAGUAACGUUGAGCCGUCGCAACGCGCGCAAAGGAGUGGGCACCAACGGUGCUUAAGGUACGUGCUAUCCGCUGGGUAACCAGUCUC
rnacentral:rRNA from 1 species